AAAGCCAGUCCCAGUUCGGAUAAGAGGCUGAAACUCGCCUCUUUGAAGUCGGAAUCGCUAGUAAUCGCAGAUCAGCAUGUUGCGGUGAAUACGUUCCCGGGUCUUGUACACACCGCCCGUCAAACCAUGAGAGUCACCAACACCCGAAGUCCGCCUUGGCGGCCUAAGGUGGGGGAGAUGAUUGGGGUUAAGUCGUAACAAGGUACC
rnacentral:rRNA from 1 species